rnacentral:rRNA from 1 species
UACGGGGGGGGCAAGCGUUGUUCAGAAUUACUGGGCGUAAAGGGCGCGUAGGCGGUCUUGUAAGUCCUGUGUGAAAUCCCUCGGCUCAACUGAGGAACUGCACGGGAAACUGCUUGGCUUGAGUUCGGGAGAGGGAAGCGGAAUUCCGGGUGUAGCGGUGAAAUGCGUAGAUAUCGGGAGGAACACCUGAGGCGAAGGCGGGCUACUGGGCCGAUACUGACGCUGAUGCGCGAAAGCCAGGGGAGCAAACAGG